rnacentral:rRNA from 1 species
UACGGAGGGUGCAAGCAUUAAUCGGAUUUAUUGGGCGUAAAGGGCGCGUAGGCGGCUUUGUAAGUCAGUUGUGAAAUCCCGGGGCUCAACCCCGGAACAGCAUUUGAAACUGCAAGGCUAGAGGGUAGGCGGAGAAAACGGAAUUCCACAAGUAGCGGUGAAAUGCGUAGAUAUGUGGAAGAACACCGGUGGCGAAGGCGGUUUUCUAGCUUAUACCUGACGCUGAGGCGCGAAAGCAAGGGGAUCAAACAGG